ACUUCUAAUACAUAUCUUCUUUGUGUUAUACCUUUGUAAUCUCUCUCUUUUUAGUUUCUAUUUUUGGAUUACUUCUUAUAGAUGUGUGUUUGUUGAGUAUGUAUUUCUUCUUCUAAUUGUAUUUUCUUACUUUUUUGUUAUUAGGAUCCGAAGCGGUUUAGAUGCCGUGUACAUGAAUAUGUACCCCACGAUCCUUUAAUAGAA
rnacentral:lncRNA from 1 species